UUGCUCGUCGAUUGUAAAUUAAACGGACGCGUUAAUAGUUUUUUAUUUUUAUUUUUUUUUAUAUUUAAUAUUCGUUUGCGGUACAGAGUAGAGUCAGUGCUUCUCGAAGGAAUAAGGCAGUCAUCCAUCACGCGAAGAGAUGCCUGACUUUGCCAGUGUUUAUGAACAUUUCUAUUGGACUUCAAUUUUAAAAAAUAUUUGUGACCGCGUGCAAUGCGGUCUAUAGAAUCAGUGUUUGCUUCGUAACAGUUUUUUUUAAAUAUUUUAGUGCACAAUAACUUUAAUUAAAUUGUCAUAAUUAUUCGCGAAAUUAGAGUCAGUGUUUGCUCGUCGCCUAUGUUUUAAAUCGACGGUAAUUUUUUAUUUUUUAUUUUUUUUUUUUAAAUAUUCGUUUUCGGUACAGGGUAGAGUCAGUGUUUCUCGAAGGAAUAGGGUAUUCAUCCACCACGCGAAGAGUUUCCACUUCCUGAUGAUGACUACUUUGACGAUGACAUCUUGGGCCACGACAAUGCAGAUUCUUCGCAUCUAUUGGUGAGUCGCAUGCAUUUAUGUUCCUCCGGUCAUUCAAUCAUGUCGUAGGAUGAAAGAUCCGAAUCGACACGAAUGAUUGGUUGUAUACGUAGAUUUUUGCACGAGCACAAUGACCACGGGUAUUUAUCAUACCCGUGAAUAGUAACAUUUCUUUCUUUGUAUUUUAUUUAUUAGAUCAGGAUAGAUCUUCUUGCACGUCGCGUUUUUAAGAUAAUAUUUUAAUAUGAUUAGUAUGAACGAUACAAAUUAGUUUGAUUGUUUAUAGUUGAAAUAAUUUCUGUAAUCAUUUGUAAAAUAAAGCUUAAGCAACUAUAUGCAUCAAACUAUAUGAAUUUAGUAGUAAAAAGGAAUAUUCAAAUAAAUGAGAAAUAUUGGAUUGAUUUUAAUUAAAUCUCUCAUAGUGAAGAAGAAUGUUCUCCGACUUU